rnacentral:rRNA from 1 species
CCCUUAGAUGUUCUGGGCCGCACGCGCGCUACACUGAUGCAUUCAACGAGUCUAAAACCUGCUCUGAUAGGGGUGGGUAAUCUUUUGAAUGUGCAUCGUGAUUGGGAUAGAUGAUUGCAAUUUUUCAUCUUCAACGAGGAAUGCCUAGUAAACGCAAGUCAUCAGCUUGCAUUGAUUACGUCCCUGCCCUUUGUGCACACCGCCCGUCGCUCCUACCGAUUGAAUGAUCCGAUGAAUAUCAUGGAUUGAGGAUGCAAGUAGGUUAGCCUAUCUUCAUCUUCGAGAAGUGAAGUAAAUCUUAUCAUUUAGAGGAAGGAGAAGUCGUAACA